rnacentral:tRNA from 1 species
AAACUCUAAUAGUUUAUAAAAACAUCGGUCUUGUAAACCGAAGAAUGAAGASUUCCCC